UUUUCACACUUGAGUCAUUUUCUUAAGGUUAGGUCACUAGAGGCUAUAAAUAGGAGAGUAUGGAAGCCUUGGCAUUCUUUUGCUUGUGGCUGCCGAAAUUAGAAGAGAAGGAGAGAGAGAGAGAGGCGUGAAAGAGAGAGAAGGAGGAGGUCUUAUGUAUGGUUUUUCUUAUGGUUCCUUGUUAUUUUUUUUGGAUUAAGGUUUAUCUUCCCCAUCAUCUUAAGACUUUUUCUUCUAUGCUCUUCUUCUUCAUGGGUUUCAAAAACCCUAGGGUAUUCAAGGGUGAUUAUCACUUGGGUGUUGAUCAAGUUGUGUUCUUGAUUUUACAAUCAAGAGAGGUAACAAAUAGGUUUCUCUGUGGCACGCGUGCUGAUGUGGGGAGUUCUGUCGUCCUGGUGUGUAUGGCGUGGGGCAUCCUAUGGACAAGAAACGAUCAACUUUAAACGCUAUUUUUAAUAAUGUUAUGUUUAAUGGGAUUUUCUUAAAAUUGUCAGUGGGACUUAAAUUUUAGUUUGUUUUAGAACUUUGCAUAAAACUGAUAUUUUCUUUUUAAA